AUUGAACGCUGGCGGCAUGCCUUACACAUGCAAGUUGAACGGUAACAGGUCUUCGGAUGCUGACGAGUGGCGAACGGGUGAGUAAUACAUCGGAACGUGCCCGAUCGUGGGGGAUAACGAGGCGAAAGCUUUGCUAAUACCGCAUACGAUCUACGGAUGAAAGCGGGGGAUCUUCGGACCUCGCGCGGACGGAGCGGCCGAUGGCAGAUUAGGUAGUUGGUGGGAUAAAAGCUUACCAAGCCGACGAUCUGUAGCUGGUCUGAGAGGAUGAUCAGCCACACUGGGACUGAGACACGGCCCAGACUCCUACGGGAGGCAGCAGUGGGGAAUUUUGGACAAUGGGCGAAAGCCUGAUCCAGCCAUGCCGCGUGCAGGAUGAAGGCCUUCGGGUUGUAAACUGCUUUUGUACGGAACGAAAAGCCUCUUUCUAAUAAAGAGGGGUCAUGACGGUACCGUAAGAAUAAGCACCGGCUAACUACGUG
rnacentral:rRNA from 1 species